rnacentral:misc_RNA from 1 species
UUUUUUUUUUUUUUUUCCUCAAAGACCCGCCAUUUGUUAAUAGCAUGUUCUUUGAAAUUGGCAACUCUGGCACCACCGUCGCUGCCCCCGCCACAGGUACUAUGUCAAAGCAGCAAUCUUUGAUAGCUCGCCAGAUAUUUAUCCAUCCCCCACCGCCUUUAUCAUCGCCAUCUUCGUCCGCCUCAUUAAACAAGCGUCGUCCACUUCUUCAACGACACAGCCACUCCGCCUCCUCCAAUUCCUCCUGCUGCAGCGGCCGUUUCGCAGAGCUAGCAGGCGGGACGACAGCUGAGUGUGCUGCGAUAUGCUGCUGUUGUCCAUGUGCGUUAGUAAACCUUCUAUACCUCACCAUCUACAAGGUUCCCGCUGGGCUGUGCCGCCGCGCUUUGAGGAGGCGGCGGAGGAAGCAGCUGAUCAAGAAAGGAAAGCUGCCGCUUAGGACAAGGAGAUGCCGGUGCGGGUGCCAAGAAACAGAGAUACAAAUUCAUCCGUCGCCAAGUGUCAAUGAGUUGGUAGUGUUAAAAUCGUAUUCAGAAGAGGAGGAGG